AACGAACGCUGGCGGCGUGCUUAACACAUGCAAGUCGAACGAGAACGGAAUAUAGCUUGCUAUAUUUGUCAGCUAAGUGGCGCACGGGUGAGUAAUGUAUAGAUAACCUGCCCUUAAGAAAGGAAUAACAGUUGGAAACGACUGCUAAUGCCCUAUAUGCCUUUAAUACAUAAGUAUGCAAGGGAAACGCUUUAGUGCUUAAGGAUGGGUCUGUAUGGUAUCAGCUUGUUGGUGAGGUAAUGGCUCACCAAGGCUAUGACGCCUAACUGGUUUGAGAGGAUGAUCAGUCACACUGGAACUGAGACACGGUCCAGACUCCUACGGGAGGCAGCAGUGGGGAAUAUUGCACAAUGGACGAAAGUCUGAUGCAGCAACGCCGCGUGGAGGAUGACACAUUUCGGUGCGUAAACUCCUUUUAUAUAGGAAGAUAAUGACGGUACUAUAUGAAUAAGCACCGGCUAACUCCGUGCCAGCCGCCGCCGUAAGAC
rnacentral:rRNA from 1 species